GAAAAACAGAAGUGAAAAGGCUCUAAAGAGACUCUAUGCAAGGAAUCAAUGAUUUCAAAAAUGAGGUUGUACACAUUGCCAAACUUUAGCACAUGAAUCUAGUGAAGCUUCUAGGGUGCUGCAUUCAACAAGAUGAAAUGAUGCUGAUCUACAACUGCAUGACCAACAAAAGCUUGGACUUCUUUAUUUUCUGUUUGAUCACUGAGAAACAGGGACGGAGCUACUCAAGGGCCUGCAGGGGCCAUGGCACCCCUUAACUUUUUGACUUCAUAUUUUGUAAUUGCUUGGUGGAUGUCCUAUUUGGCAUGUUAAUUUGCAGAUAGAUCAAAAAGCAUGUUACUGGAUUGGCCUAAGCGCUUUGUCAUUAUUAAUGGCAUUGCUCGGGAGCUUCUCUAUCUUCAUCAAGAUUCUUGACUAAGGGUAAUUCAUAGAGAUCUCAAUGCCAGUAACACAUUACUUGACAGAGAAUUCAACACAAAAAGCUCAGAUUUUGGCAUUGCUAGAAGAUAUGCAGAAAAUGAAACAAAAGCAAGAACGAAGAAAGUUGUUGGAACAUACUAUGGAGUUUUGGAGGAAGAGAAACCGAGGAUUCUCUCAUCCAGGCCAGAAUCUCAACCUUCUUGACAUGCAUGGAAGCUAUUCACAAAAGGCAGAUCCAUCGAACUUCUUGAUCCAUUAGUAGAGACUCCAGCACUCUACAUGAAGUCAUGUGAUCGAUUC
rnacentral:lncRNA from 1 species